rnacentral:rRNA from 1 species
UACGUAGGUGGCAAGCGUUGUCCGGAGUUAUUGGGUUUAAAGGGUGCGUAGGCGGCCCUGUAAGUCUGUGGUGAAAUACUCCAGCUUAACUGGAGGGGUGCCAUUGAUACUGCAGGGCUUGAGUGGAGUCGAAGUAGGCGGAAUUGACGGUGUAGCGGUGAAAUGCUUAGAUAUCGUCAAGAACACCGAUAGUGAAGACAGCUUACUAGGCUUCUACUGACGCUGAGGCACGAAAGUGUGGGGAUCAAACAGG